rnacentral:rRNA from 1 species
UACGGAGGGUGCGAGCGUUGUCCGGAAUCACUGGGCGUAAAGGGCGCGUAGGCGGCGCGGAUAGUCGGCGGUGAAAGCCCGGAGCUCAACUCCGGGUCGGCCGUCGAUACUUCCGGGCUUGAGCACUGUAGAGGCAGAUGGAAUUCCGGGUGUAGCGGUGGAAUGCGUAGAGAUCCGGAGGAACACCGACGGCGAAGGCAGCGCCCUGGCCGCCAUCUGACGCUGAGGAGCGAAAGCGUGGGGAGCGAACAGG